GAGUUUGAUCUUGGCUCAGAUUGAACGCUGGCGGCAGGCCUAACACAUGCAAGUCGAGCGGUAGAGAGAAGCUUGCUUCUCUUGAGAGCGGCGGACGGGUGAGUAAUGCCUAGGAAUCUGCCUGGUAGUGGGGGAUAACGCUCGGAAACGGACGCUAAUACCGCAUACGUCCUACGGGAGAAAGCAGGGGACCUUCGGGCCUUGCGCUAUCAGAUGAGCCUAGGUCGGAUUAGCUAGUUGGUGAGGUAAUGGCUCACCAAGGCGACGAUCCGUAACUGGUCUGAGAGGAUGAUCAGUCACACUGGAACUGAGACACGGUCCAGACUCCUACGGGAGGCAGCAGUGGGGAAUAUUGGACAAUGGGCGAAAGCCUGAUCCAGCCAUGCCGCGUGUGUGAAGAAGGUCUUCGGAUUGUAAAGCACUUUAAGUUGGGAGGAAGGGCAGUAAAUUAUACUUUGCUGUUUGACGUUACCGACAGAAUAAGCACCGGCUAACUCUGUGCCAGCCGCCG
rnacentral:rRNA from 1 species